AGAGUUUGAUUCUGGCUCAGAACGAACGCUGGCGGCGUGGAUAAGACAUGCAAGUCGAACGGGAGAAUUGCUAGCUUGCUAAUAAUUCUCUAGUGGCGCACGGGUGAGUAACACGUGAGUAACCUGCCCCCGAGAGCGGGAUAGCCCUGGGAAACUGGGAUUAAUACCGCAUAGUAUCGAAAGAUUAAAGCAGCAAUGCGCUUGGGGAUGGGCUCGCGGCCUAUUAGUUAGUUGGUGAGGUAACGGCUCACCAAGGCGAUGACGGGUAGCCGGUCUGAGAGGAUGUCCGGCCACACUGGAACUGAGACACGGUCCAGACACCUACGGGUGGCAGCAGUCGAGAAUCAUUCACAAUGGGGGAAACCCUGAUGGUGCGACGCCGCGUGGGGGAAUGAAGGUCUUCGGAUUGUAAACCCCUGUCAUGUGGGAGCAAAUUAAAAAGAUAGUACCACAAGAGGAAGAGACGGCUAACUCUGUGCCAGCAGCCGCGGUAAUACAGAGGUCUCAAGCGUUGUUCGGAAUCACUGGGCGUAAAGCGUGCGUAGGCUGUUUCGUAAGUCGUGUGUGAAAGGCGCGGGCUCAACCCGCGGACGGCACAUGAUACUGCGAGACUAGAGUAAUGGAGGGGGAACCGGAAUUCUCGGUGUAGCAGUGAAAUGCGUAGAUAUCGAGAGGAACACUCGUGGCGAAGGCGGGUUCCUGGACAUUAACUGACGCUGAGGCACGAAGGCCAGGGGAGCGAAAGGGAUUAGAUACCCCUGUAGUCCUGGCAGUAAACGGUGCACGCUUGGUGUGCGGGGAAUCGACCCCCUGCGUGCCGGAGCUAACGCGUUAAGCGUGCCGCCUGGGGAGUACGGUCGCAAGAUUAAAACUCAAAGAAAUUGACGGGGACCCGCACAAGCGGUGGAGUAUGUGGCUUAAUUCGAUGCAACGCGAAGAACCUUACCUGGGCUUGACAUGUAAUGAACAACAUGUGAAAGCAUGCGACUCUUCGGAGGCGUUACACAGGUGCUGCAUGGCCGUCGUCAGCUCGUGUCGUGAGAUGUUUGGUUAAGUCCAGCAACGAGCGCAACCCCUGUUGCCAGUUACCAGCACGUGAAGGUGGGGACUCUGGCGAGACUGCCCAGAUCAACUGGGAGGAAGGUGGGGACGACGUCAGGUCAGUAUGGCCCUUAUGCCCAGGGCUGCACACGUACUACAAUGCCCAGUACAGAGGGGGCCGAAGCCGCGAGGCGGAGGGAAUCCUAAAAACUGGGCCCAGUUCGGACUGUAGGCUGCAACCCGCCUACACGAAGCCGGAAUCGCUAGUAAUGGCGCAUCAGCUACGGCGCCGUGAAUACGUUCCCGGGUCUUGUACACACCGCCCGUCACAUCAUGGAAGCCGGUCGCACCCGAAGUAUCUGAAGCCAACCGCAAGGAGGCAGGGUCCUAAGGUGAGACUGGUAACUGGGAUGAAGUCGUAACAAGGUAGCCGUAGGGGAACCUGCGGCUGGAUCACCU
rnacentral:rRNA from 1 species